rnacentral:tRNA from 1 species
UCCCUGGUGGUCCAGUGGCUAAGACUCAGCGUUUCCAAUGCAGGGGUCCCAGGUUCAAUCCCUGGGCAGGGUA